CCUACGGGAGGCAGCAGUGAGGAAUAUUGGUCAAUGGACGAGAGUUUGAACCAGCCAAGUAGCGUGAAGGAUGACUGCCCUAUGGGUUGUAAACUUCUUUUAUAUGGGAAUAAAAUGUUCCACGUGUGGGAUUUUGUAUGUACCAUAUGAAUAAGGAUCGGCUAACUCCGUGCCAGCAGCCGCGGUAAUACGGAGGAUCCGAGCGUUAUCCGGAAUUAUUGGGUUUAAAGGGAGCGUAGGUGGAUUGUUAAGUCAGUUGUGAAAGUUUGCGGCUCAACCGUAAAAUUGCAGUUGAAACUGGCAGUCUUGAGUACAGGAGAGGUGAGCGGAAUUCGUGGUGUAGCGGUGAAAUGCUUAGAUAUCACGAAGAACUCCGAUUGCGAAGGCAGCUCACUGGACUGCAACUGACACUGAGGCUCGAAAGUGUGGGUAUCGAACAGGAUUAGAUACCCCUGUAGUC
rnacentral:rRNA from 1 species